UUCCCGUUCCAAAAAUACCGUUCGUUUAAGGUUUUGCUUAUCUACUUGACUCGCAGACUCGGUCGUCCCUCAAAUCUCUCCCCCGUCUCCCUCGGUCCCUCCCUCAGUCCCUCGUCCCGCCACCGCCGGGACGCCCCCGCCUCUCCGCCGCCACCGAGCCACCGGCCGCCUGCAGAUCCAGCGCCCCCGCUGCCCAGCCUCUCCUCUCCGCCACCAGGGCCGCCCCGCCUCUCCUCUCUGCCACCAGGGCUGCCCAGCCUCUCCUCUCCGCCACCAGCGCCGCCCCGGCUCUCUGCCACCAUCGCCGCCCCGAGGCUCGACUCCGGCCAGUCCAGCAAGGUAAGAAAUUCUCAAUUUCUCCCUCCUUCUCUGUUCUCCCUCCUCCUCUGUUCUCCCUCCUUCUGUGUUCUUCAACUUCUCUGUUCUUCAACUAAAGUGGUUCAUGGAUUCAUCCGAUUGGACCUACCAGUUCCAAAAUCGCUGAGUUUCUUGCUUUGUUUCAUUCAUGAAGUCUCAGUUUAAUUAUUGCAUGUAUUACACUAUGCUACCAGCCUUUGUGCCUGAUUGUUUUUACACUUUUGUAUGAGACAUUGAGAGUUUGAGACUAUGUGGUAUGUGCUAUGUGGCUGGCUAUGUUCCUCAUUUGAUUUCUUGGAAAUUAUGUAUGAGAAUAAUGAGACAAAUAACUUAUUGUGUGCACUGUUAUUCAUAUUGUCAUGAGAUUAUGCUGUUUUUUAUCUUUUAUUUGCAGUAUUUAGUUAAAAACAUAUCAUUUUAUAUAUUAAAAAACCAGACCGGUUCAACCGGUGAACCGGCGGUUCGACCGGAAAAACCGGAACCGAGAGCCUCACCGGUUCGGUCACCGGUCCGGUUUUUAAAACUAGGGAUGAAAGG
rnacentral:lncRNA from 1 species